AAAUUCAAUUGCUGGUGAGUUUUGGUUUUCUUUAAGAACAUUUUUUGGCACAUUUUUCUUUCAAAAACUUCUCUCUCAGUCAUAACAUAUCCACCCCAUCACUCAAAAAACAUGGGGAAAACAUUUUUUUAAUUAAAUUUUCAAAAUGUAUUUGUAUAAAAAUGAUUUUUUUUCAUUUAGCCGCAUGCUAGGUGUGGUGUUAGCUUUCGGCCAUAUUACUUUGAAUCUUUCCACCCCCUCACAGACUUUAAAAUUAAAUUUAAAAAAAUAGUGCCUGAGCUUGCAAAGUAUGUUUUAUUGUUGGUCUAUCAUAUUCUUCAUGUUACGAAAUACAAAAUUCUGGUUAUGAUCAAAAAUCUUAAAAUUCCAAGGUCCAAUCUGAACAGUUUCCGUUGAAGCACCCAUUAAUUAGUCAACUACUUUUUGCUUAAAUUGAGUCUGGUUGCUUUUCUUCCCACAGCCAAAUCACCAAUAAAACCCCUAGCCCCUCAGAAAAAUUUGACCAAACACCACAAAGAAAUAUAGUUACAUGGAAAUACAUAUAGUUAUAUAGAAAUAUAUAAUUAUUUGGAUUUUUAAUAGUUUAGUUAUUCUCUUAACUGUACAAUUGUACUUGAUGUAUAUUUUAUUUCCCUGCAUGGAGGUCUCUCCACACAAUAACACACACUAAUAAUCACAAUACACUUCAGAGGAUGAGAUGCUGAUUUAUAUAUUUGUUCACUAGCCCUAAAUUUAAAGUAAAAAAAUGUAUCUAAAAAUAUUACAUUAUUAUUAGGAAUUACAGUAGUCUGUAUGUGUUAUGUUUUAAUUGUAGUAAUCUCCCCCCAAGUGCCUAAAACACUUUUUGUGCAUGACCCAGUGUCCUCAAGGACCCAGUGCCCUAUCAUUGUCCAAGGAGAUGGAGGGAAUUUACUAUUCAUUUUGUUUUAUGGCAGAUUAGUGUGGGCUUUCCCCCAAUGCCAGUGACUGACAGCAGCAGGUCGUCUGGACCCUGAUUUAAACUCCCCGAAACUCUAGCAGACGUCUAAAUUUCGUAACGCCCAUUCAGUAAACGGCAUCAUAUCACAUCAUGGAUGGUAUUUCCACAACCUUUGGUAAUCAUCCAAAAAUUUGAGCCAGUAGUCCUCUCAUGGCGCCUGGAGCACAAGACAGCAGAGGGCAGUAGACAGGUACACAGCACCAGCCUACAUUUUAGCAACUAUCAGAAGGAUAAUAUUCCACAAGAAUGCAUUUCCUUGUGAUGAGACAGUUUUCACAAAAUGGAUGAAAUGUAUACUCUCCAGUGCAUAGCCUUCCACCUGACCUCUCAGCCAUUUCAAGAAUAAGGUCAUGGUCAUAUCACGUUCACAUGCAGCCGAAACACAUGGGUGUUACCUCAAAAGAACAUUUACAUAGGAGAUGACAAGUAAGAUAAAUGAGUCGCACCAAGGGUAGAUGGCUGAGAAUGAACAGCAGAUGGCGUAUAUGUCCCUCAGAAUGGUCUAAAAAGACUUGGAAAAUAAUGACAACCAAAAGGAUCAAAACAAAUAGAAAGCAUGAGGUGUUUAGCACCAAAAUAAAAGCAUGGAACAAAAAUAUUUUAACCCACAAAAUGCCCUAUUAAUCUACAAAAUGAACUUUUCUUCAUAGUGUUACAAUGGGCACAACCCACCACUAAACCUAAUGCAUAUAACAUAAAGUUCACCUAGGAUACCUCAAAAUUUACAGUGCCCUUGCAUCACUCAUAUUCUCUCUUAACUUUUAUUAAAAGCAACCAAAGUGUAAAAUAUAGGCAGCAUAAAAAUACAGAUGCUUUUCAAAUGGCAUGCAGCCAUAGACAUUGCUUUGUUUUAAAGUGGUCACACUCCUACUACUCGGAAUCAACAAAGUCAAAAAUGUUUAAAUCCUACCUGUAGGGGCUUUAAGUAUGUCUGGGUUUAGAUGGUGGUCUGUCCUGUGUGCAGUGGCCAAUUUAAGUCAUGUCAGACUCAGCUUAUCAGGCCUUACUUCUUCAGCCUCAGCUGUAUUUAACUGUGUUCUUAGUUGAAUGCAUACAAACUUUAGUCAGUUAACAUGUGCCUAGAAUUAGCAUGUUAAUACUACUGUAAUUGUAGGAAUUUUAAUAACUACGGGAUGUUACACUGUUAUGGUGCUAGAUGAAGAGUCAGGGGUUCAGCAAACUCAUGACUGUCUGUGGCAAAUCUCUUGACAAUCCAUCCAAUAGUUGUCAAGAUAUUUCACUCUGGACCAAAAAAAAAGGAAAAAGAAAAACAACCCCUCAUGUUGUAAUUCCUUGUUUGACACUGCAAACUAACCACAGUAAUUCAAAACUGACAGAAAAUUAAAAUAUAUUUUUAUUUCAAAUAAACUUCACAUAAUCAACCACACAUGAAAUGAUUAAAUACACUCAAAAUAAGAUUUAUUUGCCUCUCUACUCACUCACAGAAAACAACACGUGUAUUGUAAAGCUGUGCCGAAAACAAGUUCUUUUGGCAUGUUUCAUUUUUCAGCUAGUGUUUCUUAAUUUACAGAACAAAACAAACAGACAAACCUAUGUAACAGAACAAGCAAGAAAAAAAAAAACAUAUCUUAAAACAUAUUCAACAUUUCAGGAUGAAAACUUAGCACCUUGUUCCAGUCACUGUGAUACUUAGACUGGUGUAUAGUGGAUAUGAAACCAUAGUAUGGUGAGAUAAUUGGCCAUGAUGACACUGCCAAUAACAAGGCAUACUGUACUCCUGCCUCUUUAGGAUUUUAAAGACAGUGCAAGUUUAGACACCAUGAUAAGGAGUGCGCUGUCAGAUGCAACAGACUGACACAGGGGCUCAAAAUCUGUUUGCAACUCAUCUUACAAGCCACAUCCACAUCUUCACUUCAUACUUGAUGCUAUACACAAUGACUUGCCAAAAAAAAAAUACUGUACAUAACGUGCUGCUAAACCUGUUAAAAGUAAAUUUGAUGGUUUACAUAAGAUGACUUCUACAAAGAACAAAUACUAAUCCUUAAUACUAAGGCACUGCUUAAAAUAAAAUGACAAAGAUAACAGUGAGGUGUGAAUGUGGAGAAAUCAACUCUGUACACAAAGCUGAGCUCCAGUGUCUCUACAACAUAAAACUCACUGCAUGUUAAGAUGUACCACAAACGAACAGCGACCACAAUACCCAUGUUAGCAAAUUUAACAGUGUGACAUAAAACACACGUCGUCCCCUACAGGGCGAGCUUUUACUGACCAGAGGUAAGAACAGCCUUGCAUGAUCGGCCACAGUGCUUCCAGAUGGUCUGCUGUGGACAAAGACAAUACAAUACGUGCUGAUGCUAUGCUUAUAUACAAACAAUGAGAAGAGGUCACUCAGGAUGGAGAUUGACUCGGUGUCCCUUUGAGACCUGCCCUUUCUAAAAUGUGACUGUUGCAAGUACUGUAUAUGUACUUUUUUUUUUUUU